rnacentral:rRNA from 1 species
AUUGAACGCUGGCGGCAGGCCUAACACAUGCAAGUCGAGCGGUUGACGGGAGCUUGCUCCCUGAUUCAGCGGCGGACGGGUGAGUAAUGCCUAGGAAUCUGCCUAUUAGUGGGGGACAACGUUUCGAAAGGAACGCUAAUACCGCAUACGUCCUACGGGAGAAAGCAGGGGACCUUCGGGCCUUGCGCUAAUAGAUGAGCCUAGGUCGGAUUAGCUUGUUGGUGAGGUAAUGGCUCACCAAGGCGACGAUCCGUAACUGGUCUGAGAGGAUGAUCAGUCAAAAUGGAACUGAGACACGGUCCAGACUCCUACGGGAGGCAGCAGUGGGGAAUAUUGGACAAUGGGCGAAAGCCUGAUCCAGCCAUGCCGCGUGUGUGAAGAAGGUCUUCGGAUUGUAAAGCACUUUAAGUUGGGAGGAAGGGUUGUAGAUUAAUACUCUGCAAUUUUGACGUUACCGACAGAAUAAGCACCGGCUAACUCUGUGCCAGCAGCCGCCGCCGUAA